rnacentral:rRNA from 1 species
CCCUUAGAUGUCCUGGGCCGCACGCGCGCUACACUGACAUGUUCAACAAGCCUCCUAGUUCGACAGGAUUUGGGAAAUCUUUGAACGCAUGUCGUGAUAGGGAUAGAUCAUUGCAAUUAUUGAUCUUGAACGAGGAAUUCCUAGUAAACGCGAGUCAUCAGCUCGCAUUGAUUACGUCCCUGCCCUUUGUACACACCGUCCGUCGCACCUACCGAUUGAAUGUUUCGGUGAAGAUUCCGGAUAGGACUUUUUUGAUUUAUUUCAAUUCUGUCUUAAAAGCUAUCUAAACCUCAACAUUUAGAGGAAGGUGAAGUCGUAACA